rnacentral:tRNA from 1 species
GCUGGCGUAGCUUAAUACAAAGUAUAGCCCUGAAGAGGCUAAGAUGAGUACUAAUAAACUCCGCACGCA